UUUUGGCUAAUGACGGUCUUCCUUGCAAUUGAGUGGGGUUGGUUGCCAUUAUCUUUGUGGUUUCGGGGAUGUCUACCGUAAAGGUGCAUGAGUGGUGUUUGGUUUGUUACGGGUGGUUGGCUCUUUGCUUGCGCAACAACUUCCACCUGGCAUUCCUCUUCAGUUUUGUUUCAAUGCUUGUAUUGCACUGAAUGCAUGUCGGGUUUCUUGUGUUGCAUGCCUAAUUGAUGGUAUCGCGUGACGAAUCGAUUAUUAUUUUCGUCUUGUGUCGCACAUGCGAUGCGAGAUGAACCUUAAAGCAGCCCUUGUGAUCCACUCUUUCGAUGCAUCCGCAUUGAUUUUGUGGCUCAGUGAGUGUUUGCUUGGUCUCAUGGAUAUGGAACCUUGUGUGGGCGUGUGAUCUUUUACUAGAUCAUUGUUUGCCCAAGCUAAGCUUUUUCAAAUACGAUUUCCUAUCAUGUUCUAACGUGGUAGGCAAUAUCGAAUAUGAAUG
rnacentral:misc_RNA from 1 species